GAGGCAGCGGCGGCGGCGGAGGAGGAGGAGGAGGAGGUCAGGAACGCGGAAAAUAGAAGGGACGAGAAACAAAUCGUAAUGAUAGGUGGAGGGGGUGCCAGCGUGCAAGUCGGACCAUGGAUGGUGAACUCGCGAGAAAGACGAACCGUCUAAAAGCAAACGAAGGUAAGCGUAGUUGGAGGAGCGAAAAGAAUAGUAUUUCUAGAAGACGAAUUAGGAGAAGCUAUGAGAGAAUCGCGAGACGAAGUUUCAGCGCCCACUUCGCGUAUGAAAAAUACAAUACGAUCGAAAUGGAACCGGUCGGAUAUUGACACUGGAAAAGCGGAUGGAAGUUCGAGUCCAAUUAAAAGCCGCGGCACAUCGAUCGAAUUAAAAAAAUAUUACCCGACACGCAGCUGGAAGAACGACAAUAAAUUACAUCGAACUAGCUUCGGGUAUUAACGAUCCGGCCAGGCUUUUCGAUUAAAACCUGUCUCUCUCUCUCUCUUUUUCUUUCUCUCUCUCUCUUUCGAUCGAGCCGGGUGAUACGAAGAUAAUUGAGACAAAGGAACAAAUUCCCUGAUAAAUAUUUCACUGUGUCGAUCAAGAACAACGGCA